AAUAUGCUUUCUCUGUUCGGAAAUACUUAUUAUCAAAAUAAAUGAAAGGGAAUGUAUCUAAACGUAUAUUAGUUGUAGAUACAUUUUUUUUAUCCAUUUUAAUGACAAGCAUUUUCAGAUGGAGGAAGUAUCUU
rnacentral:pre_miRNA from 1 species